GUCCAGACUCCUACGGGAGGCAGCAGUGGGGAAUAUUGCACAAUGGGGGAAACCCUGAUGCAGCGACGCCGCGUGAGUGAAGAAGUAUUUCGGUAUGUAAAGCUCUAUCAGCAGGGAAGAAAAUGACGGUACCUGACUAAGAAGCCCCGGCUAACUACGUGCCAGCAGCCGCGGUAAUACGUAGGGGGCAAGCGUUAUCCGGAUUUACUGGGUGUAAAGGGAGCGUAGACGGCAUGGUAAGUCAGAUGUGAAAGCCCGGGGCUCAACCCCGGGACUGCAUUUGAAACUGUCAGGCUGGAGUGCAGGAGAGGUAUGUGGAAUUCCUAGUGUAGCGGUGAAAUGCGUAGAUAUUAGGAGGAACACCAGUGGCGAAGGCGGCUUACUGGACUGUAACUGACGUUGAGGCUCGAAAGCGUGGGGAGCAAACAGGAUUAGAUACCCUCGUAAA
rnacentral:rRNA from 1 species